GCUCCAGACUCCUACGGGAGGCAGCAGUGGGGAAUAUUGGGCAAUGGGCGAAAGCCUGACCCAGCGACGCCGCGUGAGGGAAGAAGGUCUUCGGAUUGUAAACCUCUUUCAGCAGGGAAGAAGAAAGUGACGGUACCUGCAGAAGAAGUCGCGGCUAACUACGUGCCAGCAGCCGCGGUAAUACGGAGGAUGCGAGCGUUAUCCGGAUUUAUUGGGUUUAAAGGGUGCGUAGGCGGAAUGCCAAGUCAGCGGUAAAAUCGCGGGGCUCAACCUCGCUCCGCCGUUGAAACUGGCGUUCUUGAGUGGGCGAGAAGUAUGCGGAAUGCGUGGUGUAGCGGUGAAAUGCAUAGAUAUCACGCAGAACUCCGAUUGCGAAGGCAGCAUACCGGCGCCCAACUGACGCUCAGGCACGAAAGCGUGGGUAUCGAACAGGAUUAGAUGCCCGCGUACC
rnacentral:rRNA from 1 species